GACACAACAGUGGUAGGCCUGAUUACCAACAACAAUGAGAUAGCCUACUACAGAACCUGGCGGAGUGGUGCCAGGAAAAUAACCUCUCCCACAAUGUCAACAAAACGAAAGAGCUGAUCUGGGACUACAUGAGACCACAGAGACAACACGCCCCAUUCACAUCGACGUGACCACAGUGGAGGGUAAAAAGCUUCAAGUUCCUUGGUGUGCACAUCACAGAGGACCUGCAAUGGUCUGUAGUAGGCUAUCUCAUUGUUGUUGGUAAUCAGGCCUACCACUGUUGUGUCAUCAGCCAACUUGAUGAUUGAGUUGGAGACGUGUUUAGCCACACAACACGGUGGUGAAGAAGGCGCAACAGUGCCUCUUCAACCUAAGGAGAAAAAUUCAGCUUGGCCCCGAACGGGUGAAAGGAUGUUCUGCUCCAGCUGUCCAGAAAAGGAACUGUGAAACACUGUCUGCAGAUGAAGAGAUCCCGGUGAAUGUCCCAAGAACCUGCUGGCACAUCCUCGUAUACCAUGGGUUGUAUAUGUUAGCACAUGUUAUAUACAACAAUACAGUUAAAAGUCACACACAAUUUAGGCUACAAACUUAUUACAACUGUAGCAGGCCAAUCCUUCUCCUGGAGGUCUGCUGGGCUUGCAGGCUUCUUUCUGUUCAAGCUAAGCACUAACACAUUUGAUUCAAAUGAUCAAACCGAAUGAGUUGAUAAUAAUGUGUAUUAUUGGUGGGCUGGAAUAGAAGUCUGCUCACCCAGUAGAUCAGGGAGUGGAUCAAGGUUGGUCACAUCUGGUAUGGACUUUUUUUGUUCACCUGAAAUGAUGCUUUAGUAAUAAUAGCCUCCUUACUAAGAUGUCUAAUAUUUACAAACAAGUAAGCUAAUUUGUACAUUUUGAAAUUAUAUGUUUAAACUUGUUUUAAUUGUUCAUUUAAAAAACUAUUCAAGAUGAACUAGUGCCAAUGUUCAUUAAUCACAGAUCAUAGUUCUACAAUAAAAAGGUGUGAAGGUGUGUUUUUUAACUGAA